GGCGCCGUCAGACUCGACGGACACCCCCGACAACAGACGUCUCCAGCGACGCGUCUCCGACCGUCAUCGAGUACCGCCACGUCGACACACUGCCGGAGCAGGUGCAGCACGUCCAGACGGCCCGAUUCCGUCUCCAGUACAACCGAUCGGUGCUGGAGCACCUGGAGGGGAUCGGCACCGACUGGCUGUGACCGGCCGAGGCCGUCCAGCGACGCCGAUGGAGGAUGGACCGGCCGACGCCCGCAACGGGACGUGUAACUUGUGCGGUAAGGACGUCAAGAACCUAAAGAUGCCCUUCCGAGGAACACACGACUCCGACUGGGGGCGUUCAGAGCCGCUGGUGGACGGGGACGGAAAACUGGACAGCGUGUCGCUGGCAGGUCGGGUCGGGUCACUGACCUAAGACGUCACAAGUGAACCUC